rnacentral:rRNA from 1 species
UACGGAGGGUGCAAGCGUUAUCCGGAUUCACUGGGUUUAAAGGGUGCGUAUGUGGGCAAGUAAGUCAGUGGUGAAAUCUCCGGGCUUAACCCGGAAACUGCCAUUGAUACUAUUUGUCUUGAAUACUGUGGAGGUCAGCGGAAUAUGUCAUGUAGCGGUGAAAUGCUUAGAUAUGACAUAGAACACCAAUUGCGAAGGCAGCUGGCUACACAAAUAUUGACACUGAGGCACGAAAGCGUGGGGAUCAAACAGG